rnacentral:rRNA from 1 species
AAGUCUGGUGCCAGCAGCCGCGGUAAUUCCAGCUCCAAUAGCGUAUAUUAAAAUUGUUGCGUCUAAAAAGCUCGUAGUUUGAAAACUUGCCUUGGCUUACAAUCGGGCUCUUGUGGUCCACCGUUUGUUGAGUGCAAAUAUGGAUGACUGUUUUUGCCGUCUUAAUUGCCGGCUUACAAGAGUUAUCAAAAAUCACUUUGAUUAAAUUAGAGUGCUCAAAGCAAGUGUGUUACUUGGAUAUAAAUGCAUGGAAUGAUGGAAUAUGUUGUUGUUCUAUUUGUUGGUUUUUGAACGAUGAAAUGAUUGAAAGGAACUGUUGGGGGCAUUCGUAUUGUUGUGAGAGAGGUGAAAUUCUUAGACCACAGCAAGACGAACUACUGCGAAAGCAUUUGCCAAGAAUGUUUUCAUUGAUCAAGAACGAAAGUUAGAGGUUCGAAGGCGAUCAGAUACCGCCCUAGUUCUAACCAUA